UACGUAGGGUGCGAGCGUUAAUCGGAAUUUCUGGGCGUAAAGCGUGCGCAGGCGGUUUGCUAAGACCGAUGUGAAAUCCCCGGGCUCAACCUGGGAACUGCAUUGGUGACUGGCAGGCUAGAGUAUGGCAGAGGGGGGUAGAAUUCCACGUGUAGCAGUGAAAUGCGUAGAGAUGUGGAGGAAUACCGAUGGCGAAGGCAGCCCCCUGGGCCAAUACUGACGCUCAUGCACGAAAGCGUGGGGAGCAAACAGG
rnacentral:rRNA from 1 species